GGACGAUACUCUGGAGAGACCCGUUAAAUCGGGCGCCGAAGGAGCAAGGCUGCCGACCCGUGCGGCAGCCGGAAACUCUCAGGCAAAAGGACAGAGGGGAUGGG
rfam:Aeromonas schubertii strain ATCC 43700 Scaffold2, whole genome shotgun sequence.